CCUACGGGUGGCUGCAGUGGGGAAUAUUGCACAAUGGGGGGAACCCUGAUGCAGCGACGCCGCGUGGGUGAAGGAGUAUUUCGGUAUGUAAAGCCCUAUCAGCAGGGAAGAACAAUGACGGUACCUGACUAAGAAGCACCGACUAAAUACGUGCCAGCAGCCGCGGUAAUACGUAUGGUGCAAGCGUUAUCCGGAUUUACUAGGUGUAAAAGGAGCGCAGGCGGCGCGGUAAGCCUGGUGUGAAAGCCCGCGGCCCAACCGCGGGACUGCAGUGGGAACUGGCGCGCUGGAGUGCGGGAGGGGUAGGCGGAAUGCCUGGUGUAGCGGUGAAAUGCGUAGAUAUUAGGAAGAACACCAGUGGCGAAGGCGGCCUACUGGAGGGUGACUGACGCUGAGGCUCGAAAGCGUGGGGAGCAAACAGGAUUAGAUACCCGGGUAGUC
rnacentral:rRNA from 1 species